rnacentral:snRNA from 1 species
GUGUUCGCUUCAUGAGCACAUAUACGAAAAUUGGAACAAUACAGAGAAGAUUAGCAAGGUCCCUGCAUAAGGAUGACAUGCAAAUUCAUCAAGCGUUCCAUAAUUUU